rnacentral:hammerhead_ribozyme from 1 species
AUCCAGAUGAUGAGACCCGAACAGGACGAAAUGCGCAUACUGGAU